GACGAACGCUGGCGGCGUGCUUAACACAUGCAAGUCGAACGGCAAGGCCCUGCUUUUGUGGGGUGCUCGAGUGGCGAACGGGUGAGUAACACGUGAGUAACCUGACCUUGACUUUGGGAUAACUUCAGGAAACUGGGGCUAAUACCGGAUAGGAGCUCCUGCUGCAUGGUGGGGGUUGGAUAGUUUCGGCGGUUGGGGAUGGACUCGCGGCUUAUCAGCUUGUUGGUGGGGUAGUGGCAUACCCAGGCUUUGACGGGUAGCCGGCCUGAGAGGGUGACCGGCCACAUUGGGACUGAGAUACGGCCCAGACUCCUACGGUGGGCAGCAGUGGGGAAUAUGGCACAAUGGGCGGAAGCCUGAUGCAGCAACGCCGCGUGCGGGAUGACGGCUUUCGGGUUGUAAAACGCUUUCGCCUGUGACGAAGCGUGAGUGACGGUAAUGGGUAAAGAAGCACCGGCUAACUACGUG
rnacentral:rRNA from 1 species